rnacentral:rRNA from 1 species
CCUACGGGUGGCUGUAGUAGGGAAUCUUUCACAAUGGGCGAAAGCCUGAUGGAGCAACGCCGCGUGCAGGAUGAAGGCCUUCGGGUUGUAAACUGCUUUUAUAAGCGAGAAAUAUGAUGGUAACUUAUGAAUAAGGAUCGGCUAACUACGUGCCAGCAGCCGCGGUCAUACGUAGGAUCCGAGCAUUAUCCGGAGUGACUGGGUGUAAAGAGUUGCGUAGGUGGCAGCACAAGUCUGGAGUGAAAUCCCGGGGCUUAACCCCGGAACUGCUUUGGAAACUGUGCGGCUGGAGUGCAGGAGGGGUAAGCGGAAUUCCUAGUGUAGCGGUGAAAUGCGUAGAUAUUAGGAGGAACACCGGUGGCGAAGGCGGCUUACUGGACUGUAACUGACGUUGAGGCUCGAAAGUGUGGGGAGCAAACAGGAUUAGAUACCCCAGUAGUC